UUAAGACUAUACUUUCAGGGAUCAUUUCUAUAGU
rnacentral:miRNA from 1 species